AUAAUAAAUAAGAGUAUAAGACAAGGGGAAGUCAUAUCCUACAUUUGACUUUGCAGUGGAUUGUAAAAAUAAAGAAAAUCUCAUUAAGUUAUUAUGGCAAGUAUGUUUUUUUUCUUUAUUUGAUGAAAUUUCAAUAAAAAAGAAGUCCUUAUGUUAGCAAGGACAGGUAAUGACUGACCAUACAGCAUUAAAAAUUCAAAUAAAACAGAAUCUACAAUUUAUGAUUGUUAUAGAAAUCUUUUGUUAGCAAAAUUCAAAUAAGUUUUUCUAAUGAAUUGGUAGCUCUAUUUAAUUUAAUAACUUAACUAAAUUAGGAUAUUAAGAAAAUGUACAUGUCUAAUACCUUACAUCUUUAACGCGCACCUCCUUAAUGCUAUUUUUGAAUUUGGAUUUCCAUCCUUGCCCCAGAAUACAAAGCGCCAAAACCACCAAAAACUUUCCUUCUUUUAUCAUAAUUUAUCUUUCCUUAUUUUCAACUUUAUUUAUUU
rnacentral:lncRNA from 1 species